UUAACUGGAAUUUGUAUAACUGAACUCUUUAUCUAGUGGAUUGAGUCUCUUGAUUUGGCUAAAGAGUGAUAGUUUUACCUUUGAGAAAUUCUUUAAAUUCAUCCCCAAAUCUUGUGUUCAGUUACAUAUUGCUUAAGACAUUCUUUUAUAGACAACUCCAUGGUAGUUAUUGUGCCAACCAAUUCACAUGCACAACAAACUAUCACAUGCACAAUAAGGAAAACAGAGGACCCAAAAGGAGUUCGAGGCAUCAUUAGCAGUCAAAUCUGGAUUUCUAGUUGUGAGAUCAUAUGCUGAGAUUACAAGAAGAGAGUAGAUCCUUGAGAAGUUGCUGGAGUGACUAAUAUUAACAGCAAUCAAACAUCAACGGCUAAAAUCACAAAGUUGGAGCACUUCUCAAAUCAUGAAGCCUCACCUGCUAUGGAAACAUUACAACCAACGGCUACAGAAACAUCACCGGCCGGCAGAAGACUAUUCCGAGCAGUGCGCACUCAAAUGGAAACCCCAUAUCAGGCAACGGCUAGCACCUUAAUUUAUGAACCGAUUGUGUAUAUCUCUGUUUAGUAGAAUCCUUCAAGUUCAGGUGUGUUUCAUAAAUAACAAAAGGGACACGUUUUUAUAAA